AUCAAUGAAUAAUUGUACAAACUGAGAUGAACCCUCCAACCAAGUACCCAAAGAUAGGGGACAAAAUCAUGUGGUUUGGAGUAAAGGAUUGAAUACACUGCAUAGGGCAAAGCAGGUUUUUAUCCAAACUGAUUAGCUAGGAAGAAAGAUGAGAAAGUUAGUUGAGAAGAACUGACCAUAUUAAGGUCAGAAUCUACGUGUGCAGCAUGAAAAAAAAGAAAAAUGCCAGCAAUAAAGGCCAGGUGAUGCAGAAGGCAAUUUCAUAGGCAGAUGAAUUAUAAAUAGAAAAUUGCCACAUCCAAAGAUUAUACAGUCUUUUCUCAGGAAAGUAUCCAGGCCAGAGAAUGAAGAGCCAGUGAUUCAACAGAUAAAAAGCAGAGGCAGCUGCAAUUUUAUAAAACAUUGAUGACGACAGUAGAUGUAUGAUUUAAACUCUAAAAUUUUAUGGAAUUUCUACUAAGCAAAAAUCAACUCCUACAUAACCAAAUCAAGGCCACAAGCUCCAUGAGGGCAGGCCUAUAACUGUGUGACUCACUGCUGUAUCUAUAGCCUAGUACUUUGUAGAAACAGAACAGGUAUUUGAAUAAUAAAAUGAUGGGUCUUUCAUUCUCAUGACAUACCAACUUCUCUUCACUCUUUCCCUCUCAGUGUUGCCAUUCAUCCACUUGGCCAAGCAAGAAACAAUUAAUCAUCCUAGACUUUCUCUAUCUUACCCACUCUCCCAAAAUAAUUAUCAAUAUGCAACUCUUAUUGAUUAUACUUGGAAAAUUUAACUUAAUGAAUCUGUGAAAUCUGAUGCAUUUUUUUCUCCAUUAGCAUAAUGCCUGUUCAGGCCACCAUUCUUAUUCUUUUGCUCUCCUGCUAAGUCCUUCUCACCAUCCUUCUGUUUCUAAUUGUUCUGCUAAAAUCGAUUCUCCUAAUUACCACCAUGCUAAUCAGAGUUGUGGGUUGAAUUAUUUUUUCCCCAAAAGAUAUUUUUAAAUGCUAACCUUCAAUACCUGUGAAUUUGGAAACAGAUUAAUAUGAGGCUGUAUUAUAUUAGUGUGCCCCAAUUCAAUGACUGGUGUCCUUAUAAGUCUUAAUUUAGACACAGGGGGAAAAAAAGAACAGAGAGAAUACUAAAAGAUAAUGGAGAGAUGACAGAAGCAGAGAUAGGCUGCAUCUACAAGCCAAGGGACAUCAGGAUUGUCAGGAGCCAUGAGGAGGUAGGAAGAGGCCAGAAAGGAUUCCCCCCAAUCACAGAGACUUCAGAAAGAGCACAGCCCUGCCUGCUGAUACCCUUAUUUCAGUCUUUCAGCCUCCAGAACUGUAAGAAUACAUUUACUUGUCUUGAGUUGCCCAGUUUACAGUUAUCUGUUACUGUAGUCCAAUAUAAAUAAAUUUCAAUUAAGUCACUCUGUUGCUCAACAUCCUUUUUAAACUAUUUUCUUCCAAGGGAAUACAAAGUCUUUUCUCAAUCCUAAAGAAGACCAUGAUCUAAAUACUUCCUAACUCCCUGGAUUAAUCUCUUGACAGUUUUACUUUCCAGGUAGACCACUCUUCAGCAACACAGCACUUGUUUACUUUCCUCCAAUAUGCCUCAACUUCCAGGCCCUCAUGAGUGCUGCUCCUUCUGCCUGAGCAUGCCCUUUCUCCCCACUUCCCUCCUCGAAUUAACAUGAUUAACUCUGAUAUUUUCUUAUCUCAAAGCCUCAUUCCAUUAGGGAGAACUCUCAAGAUGUUGAAACUAAUUCAGGCUCACCUGCUGUGUAGCAGAUAGACUUUACUCCAAGUAUUUGAUUAAUUUUCUUUUCUGCUCUGUAAACUGUAGAUUCACUAAAGGGAAGAGUAACAUCUUUGCUGUUGUAUCCCCUGUAUCUGAUGUAAUGCUUUAUGUAUUACUAGGAUUACCUCACUAUUGCUAGCAGAUCACAAUUACCACAACUAUUACUACUGGUAAUAAUAAAGAGCUAACAAUGAUUGAGCAGUUAUUUGUACAAGGAAUUUUGCAAACAAUGAAAAAAUGUAUCAUAUGAUUGAAUAUUCUCAUCCAAUAGUGAUUACCUAAUAAGCAUCAUUAUUUAUAAGGUACAGUUGGGAAAAGUAAAUUUUAGAGUGGUUGAAUUACCAAUGCAAGGUCAUACUGCUCUGAAGUGAUAGAACGAGAGUUCUUCUCUGUUCUUUCUGAUUUCAAAAGGCCAUAUUCUAAAUGAUUUUGCUCAAUAAAUGUUUGUUGACAUUCCAGCAGAGAGAGUAACAUAAAUAAAGACCAGGUGUUGAAAUUAACACAACUGUGUUUGAGAGAAAAUGAGAGAGAUUUAACUUCUAGUAAAAAAUGAAAAAGGAAGUUGGUUGAACAUAAAUGCCAGAUGAAGGGCAAAUUUGAAGAAGACAAUUGAGACCCUAUGAUUAGGUAUAAAAUAGUUUUUAGGAAGAUAGUGUAAGGAAGAAACAAAGUUGUAUUAAUUUGUAAGUCAGUUAUGACACUAUCUCUCCAAAGAUGCAAAACCAUAAAAAUACCAUUGGAUUUAAAAAUGUAAAUUGAUUCAGCCUCAUCAAAUAUACAGCACUCUUUUAAUAUGCAAAUUUUAAAAAAUAGUCCCAAAUUUGGGAGGAAACCACAAGGAUGGGGUGGAGUUUUAUGAUAUGUAUGUUUUAAACUUUUGUUAUUUAGCUGCUUAAAUUUGGUGAUCACCACUGUCUAAACUUCUGAAAAUAAGUAAUGUGGGAUAUACUAAGAAUGAAGAAUUUAUUAUCUAGAUUUAAAUCCUAAAAUAAGAUUUUCAAGAAAAUGUGGAGUUUAAAAAUCACACCAGAAAAUUGAAGUAAUAACAUGUUGAGACACCUUUUUACAAAAUAUUGAUGCUACUAUGGACAAUGAAAGAUAAUUAGUAGAUGCAUCUCUCUCUGCAUACCCUUUUUAAAUAACAGAAAAUGAGUUUCAUCCUGAUAUAAAUGUUGAUAGUAUAUUUAAAGAAUAUUUGUUGGAAUAAUUGCCAAAUUCUCAUCCAACUCCAAGAGUGCACAUGACCUAGUCAAACUUUGGUGCAAGAAAGCAAUAGCUUCUGAUAAUACUUGAGGUAAGGAAAUAAAGUAACAGUGACUUCAAAUCUGAACCUGCUACAUGGUGAUUUAGAACUUAUUCUCUAUUAAAAUAAAUAAAUAAAAGGAAAAUGAGAGAAAUAAAUGACAACAGAAAAGUAUGAUGAACUCCGCUCUAUCCAUUUAGGUUCUAAAUAUUUCAGGAAUAAAUGUGCAACAACAAAUGAAGAAAUAAUAGGAUUAUAGAUAUGACUAUCAUAGCAGAGAUGGAGUAAUGAAAUGCUGGAGAAAGUCUUUAAGCCAAAGAAAAACACUGGGGUGUUUUGGUUAAGAAAUGUCCACAGGAAUUAUAGAAAUGUGUCCUGUCCUCCAAAGAAAUGGAGAGAAAACAAACACAAUGGAGGACCUUACUCUAGGUAAACCCAUAGAUUGUGUGUAAUAAUAGAAAAGGGAAGAAAAGCAAGUUUAGGAGUAUGGAGAGAAAAGAAUAGUCCCUAAGCAAGGUAAGAAGAAUUUGAAAUAGGAGAUGGUCGCCAAUAGCAAACACUAAAAAGUGGUCAAGAACAAGGAAGAUCAAGAAUUGGGUUUAGCAAAAUGUUGGUGUUCUUUGGGCAUGUAAAUCUCAUGUAAGAAAACAGUGAAUUAAGCAGAAAAUAACUAGGGAGAAACAAGAAGGAAUGGCUGUAGUAUAAAAGGAAGAGCUGAUCUGAAAUGUCUACAUAAAAACUUUAUCUCAACCUAUAAAUAAGCAGAACUGAUUUGGUUGCUAUUUCCUCAAAGAGUGUUCUUGUGUAUCUUCUAAAAGCUCUCACAGAUGACCGUAAUACAUAUACAACAGAAGUAUAUGCAACUAAUUAUGCCAGGAUUGUGAAAUAAAGUUUUAUAGGAUACUGGUACCAAAUGCUAGGAAAAUAAGUGGGAUAUUAAAACAUAAUGAUGUUGAGACAUAAAUUCAAGAAUAAAUUAAAAUAAAUACACAUGAAAUGCAAGUUUUUGUUGUUGUUGUUGUUGUUUUUGUUGUUUUUUUGUCCUUUGUCUUUUUAGGGCUGCAUCUGUGGCAUAUAGAGGUUUCCAGACUAAGAGUUGAAUCAGAGCUGUGGCUGCCGGCCUACACAACAGCCAAGGCAAUGAAGGAUCUGAGCUGAGUCUGCCACCUACACUACAGCUCACAGCAAUGCCAGAUCCUUAACCCUCUGAGUAAGAACUUUUUUAAAAAGUUACAUGAAAUUGAGUAGAGACAAGGAAAUGAGAAGUGCAGGUCUCUGAGAGCUGGAGGGAAAGUUAUAUACGUUAGACUAGAAAGGAAAGAGUAAUAGGAAUCACUUUGUAAUCAUAUUAGGAGGACAUGCUAGAAAGAGAUGACAUACUUUCAGAAAGAAUGAUCAGAGACUAUUGAUGAAAAUAUGGAAGGGUUAAAAAUAGACCGGAGGGGCCCAUAUUUAUCCUUUGGCUAAACUGAAACACAGAAAUAGUGAAAUAAUGAAACAGAAAAGUUUACUAGAGAUCAUAUAUCUUCUGUGCCUUGCUGAAAAAGGUAUCUGGAUAAUGAAGAGAUGUUAGAGUACUGGCAGUCACACCUCAAUAUGCAGAAGGACCUCCCCAAGAUUCACAUUAAAAGUGAAGAUUCUAGGUCCCAAGCACAGCUCUUCCAUGCUCCCAUGUAUAUGGAGGUAUCCAAGAAUCUUCAUUCUUAGAGACAACAUUGGUAAUUACCUCCCGGGUGACAGAGGUAGUCUCCUUCCUAUGCUUUGAAAACAUUAGCGGGUCAAAAAAAUUUAAAUAAUAACAUUUUAAAAGAUGAAAAUCAAUUCUAGUGAGAAAGACUAAAGAAGUUAACUUUAUAGCACAGAAGGCAGGAGGAUGAGUUAAUAACUAUCUCCAAGUUGAUUAAGUACUAGCUUAGCAAUUUUUCUCCAUUUCCAUUGUUGUCUACACAAGAGAAAAUCGACUUGAAUUAGGGUAAAAACUCAGUUACAAGAAAAGAUUUCUUGACUUAAAUAGUGAUUAUAGGCUAGGACUGUCAUGAAGUAUAUUUUGGAGAAUAUAUAUUCCUGUUUUGUUUUGACCUACUUAAAAAUCAUCACCAGCAUCAUCAGCAUCAUAUUCAUCAUCAUCUUAUCAGUUCUGGCUAUUUUAAGGGUGUAUCCCUUUACUGAUAUUGGAUAUAGGGUUGUUGACCAUAGGAUAUUUUAAGGUCUUCCCUGGUUCUAUGCUAGAAACAUUUAAUAAGGAUAUAUUGCUCUUUGAGGAGGCUAUGCAAGUCAUUAACUGUGACUAAUAUGCUGUCCUCAAGAUGUGCCAGAGCAACCUCAUUAAUUAUGUCAAAUUGCUGCUAAAGACAUUUUGUAUAUGAAUGUGUGAGUGCAUGAGUGUGUGUGUUUGUGUGUAUGGUCAUUUAUUAAAUUCCUUUGGAAUUACAGAAUAAAGAUAAUGAGUUAAUUGAAAGGCAUACCCUGUCCAUUUUUUAAGCUUUUUCUCUCUUUUCCCCUAACUCUUAAGGACCAGUCCUGCCACCAGGCAUGUCUUUCCUUGGCCAGCAUUUGUACAUGCUAAGUGGUACAGAGUUGCUCAAGCAAACAGAGGAUGGAAUUCCACCUGGUUCUCUUUCAUUGCUACAACGAGAGAGAAGCAGUUUGGUUUCUGCAACCCUCUCAUGCUGUGAUAAGCCAUAAAAAAGACUGGCUAAAGUGACUACAGAUGUUGUGUGAAAUAGCCAGUAUGUUUUCCACCUGUCUGUAUUUGCCUAAGGGGUCAGGGACAAUCAAAUUAAAGCAAUAUGCAAGAUGUGACAGAUGUUUGUCCUAUUGAGAUAAAUCUGAGCAAGUUGCAGAAAGGUAGAAUAAAUGUAAUACAUAAAACAAAACACAGAAACCACUUUAGAAGGUGUCCUGAGAAUAUCAACAUUUCUAAAUAAAGGCCCAUUACUUUACAUCCUUCCCUUCUAAUUAGACCCAUAAUUGGACACUUUAUAGUACCUAGUGGAAACAUAAUUAGUCAUUCUUUUUAUAGCAGCAUAAUUUGUUGGGAGUUGGAGUGUUGAAGUGGAAGAAGCAUCAUUUUGGAUAUUUUUUAUCUCUUUUUCAGGCAACAGGUAAUAACAUGGUGCUUUGCCCAUUUUGUUGGAAGAACUUGGGUGACUGUUUCUCCAUCAAACUAAUGUCCUCUGAUUAUCUCAUGUUCCUCCCAAAAUAUAGGAUGAUGGUCUGUAUCUAAGAGGCUAAUGCCUAGUAAUGAAAUAGCCUUUCAAUAACUUAUUGACCAGAACAUUGCUAACAUGUCAAGAUCAAGGAAAAGGGAGUUAGAUGUGACAUUAUGAUUACAUAUGUCUUGAAACAAAACACUAAUAUGGGGCAUUUUUCUUUUGUGUCACACUGGCUAGAUGUCUCUAGUCAAAAAGACAAUAUAUGUUCCUUGGCAAAGUUUUUUUUUGGUCUUUAUCUUUCUUUUCCUACACUAAAACACUUUAUGCUCUGAAAUUUCAGCCACUGCUCCUAAAAAUUAUUAGCCUUAAAAAAUAUGAGCUGGCUAGGGAAAGCAUAAAACUAAUCAACCAAUGGACAUUAACUCUUUUGAAGGUUGUAAAACCUUACAAGACAUGAGGAAAUGGCAUUCAUUGCAUUUUGUGAAAAGAAUAAUCAGUUCCAAUUCAAGUCAUUUGUAAAUACUUCCAGGGAACAUAAUAGAGGGUUGUGUGUUUUAAGCUUUAAGACAAAAGAUUAUUAUGAUUACUGGUAUAUAUCAUUCCUUAAUUUCAUUGUUAUAAUAAAGCACAUGGUUCUGAUUACAGGUAAUCCACUUCUGGUCUCAGUUGCUGCCAACCAUAAGCUGAUUUAGAUGACAACCUAUAUGACUGUAGUGAAGGCCAAUGGAAAUUACAUAAACUAUUUUUUUCUUUCUCUACUAGGAUUUCCAAGCUCUCAAUGAAGCACAGAAGCCUAAUUGAGAUUUGGAUGGUUGCUGCUUGUUGCAGCACCCUCCUUACCAACAGAGAAGGAAUAUUUACCGUGGAGCUUGGACUUUUGUUGGGAGUUAUCCAGUGCUGUGUAGUUAAGCACUGUUAGUAUCGAAGAGGUAUUUCUAAAGAGAACAUCAACAUUUUUUAAAUUGACCUAAUGUAUUGGUGAUUUAUCAAUGUAAUUUGUUGAGUGCUUAUUUGUCAGGCACUGUACUACAAUCAAGCAUUCUCCUUCCCAAACUCUCUCUGUGGCAGAGACUACAGUACUGGAAUUACCCUAUCAGUAGUGAUUUGAAAUUCACAGCAUUCCAUUCUUUCAUUCAAUCUUUUCAGGAACAAGAUGUGUAAUUUAUCAAUGCCUUCACCAGAGAAGGGAAUGUGCCCAGAGCAUUCCAAGCUUCUCCUAGCAUUAUUAUAAAAUGUUAUGAGCAUUUAAGGAAGCCAGGAGAG
rnacentral:lncRNA from 1 species